rnacentral:rRNA from 1 species
UUCUGCCUACGGGACGCAGCAGUCGGGAAUAUUGCGCAAUGGAGGAAACUCUGACGCAGUGACGCCGCGUAUAGGAAGAAGGGUUUCGGAUUGUAAACUAUUGUCGUGAGGGAAGAAAUUGACAGUACCUCAGGAGGAAGCUCCGGCUAACUAUGUGCCAGCAGCCGCGGUAAUACAUAGGGAGCAAGCGUUACCCGGAUUUAUUGGGUGUAAAGGGUGCGUAGACGGGAAAUUAAGUUAGUUGUGAAAUCCCUCGGCUUAACUGAGGAACUGCAACUAAAACUGAUUUUAUUGAGUACUGGAGG